rnacentral:rRNA from 1 species
CCCGCACAAGCGGUGGAGCAUGUGGUUUAAUUCGACGCAACGCGAAGAACCUUACCAGGGCUUGACAUCUUCUGACCGCUUAAGGAAACUUAAGCUUUCCGGAAGGUUUACUUUCUGGACAGAAAGACAGGUGGUGCAUGGUUGUCGUCAGCUCGUGUCGUGAGAUGUUGGGUUAAGUCCCGCAACGAGCGCAACCCCUACGGUUAGUUGCUAACGGGUAAGGCCGAGCACUUUAGCCGAACUGCCGUUGACAAAACGGAGGAAGGCGGGAUGACGUCAAAUCAUCAUGCCCUCUAUGUCCUGGGCUACACACGUGCUACAAUGGCCUGUACAAAGGGCAGCAAAGGGGCGACCCGGAGCAAAUCCCAAAAAACAGGUCUCAGUUCGGAUUGCAGGCUGCAACUCGCCUGCAUGAAGGCGGAAUCGCUAGCAAUCGCAGGUCAGCAUACUGCGGUGAAUACGUUCCCGGGCCUU